AAAAUGUGAAGUCAAGGACGUUGGUGUCCAGACAGAGGUUUCCUGCCCUCCCAACUCGCUGCUGUUUUUCUGCACGAAAAAGGUGACCUUAGAUGAUGAGCCGCGUUGUCCUGAAGUCAAUGAGAGAGAUGAGCCAGUUUCCAGGUCGUGUACCCCAGCAGGUCACGGUGGUAGCCAGGGGGCCAUGCUAAGAGACCACGUCACACACUGCUGACUAACAUACGAUGAUGAGUUUGUCAAUGAUGAGCAGCGGCAGAGAACAGCUUACCUGCUGUUCUAUGAAAAACAGCUUUUCAGCUCCACAUUUUUGCCAUUUCUUCCACACUCAACUCUUUUCUACAAGGUGAGCGCACAGUGAAGGAAGGGGAGGGCUGAUGGCAUUAAGAGAUUUGAUUGGGCAAUCUAGGGGCCAGUUAGUUCUUCCCUUUGGUGAAAGCUGGGCUCUUCAGUUCAGCAUGGUACAGCUCCAAAGAUUCUGCAACAUCAAACCCUCUGUCUGCUAAUAUUACAUCACCUGGGCUGAGGCAGUCCAGGUAACAGUUUCUAUUUUUGUUUUUAAACUUUAGAUAUAAACAAAACAAGAAAAAUAACAUUUAUCACUCCAUCUCGAAUCAUUUUCAUGUCAUAAGUGUUAGCAACAGUUCUAGAAAAGGAGAAGUUUGUUCCAGUUUGCAGAAAUGUUAUUACAAAUGUUCAAACUACUGCACUGUAAAAUCUAAGUAGUUCCCAGAACUCAAAAAAAACUAUGCAAACUCAUUGCCUCCAGAAAAAUUGAGUGCAGUUUACUUAAGAUGACUGUUAGGACAACUUCUUCACUGCAAGUAUGCAGUACUAAGAAUAACAAUUUGUGGUAACCUGAUUAUGAUUCAAAAUGAAUAAUUAACAACACUUCUUGUAAUGGUGUUAAAAUCAGGACAACUUUUAUUUUCAAA